rnacentral:rRNA from 1 species
UACGGAGGGUGCAAGCGUUAUCCGGAUUCACUGGGCUUAAAGGGUGCGUAGGCGGGCAGGUAAGUCAGUGGUGAAAUCUCCGAGCUUAACUCGGAAACUGCCGUUGAUACUAUUUGUCUUGAAUAUUGCGGAGGUAAGCGGAAUAUGUCAUGUAGCGGUGAAAUGCUUAGAUAUGACAUAGAACACCAAUUGCGAAGGCAGCUUACUACACAACGAUUGACGCUGAGGCACGAAAGCGUGGGGAUCAAACAGG